GGAAUAUUGGACAAUGGGGGCAACCCUGAUCCAGCCAUGCCGCGUGUGUGAAGAAGGCCUUCGGGUUGUAAAGCACUUUCAGUGGGGAGGAAGGCCUUAAGGUUAAUACCCUUGAGGAUUGACGUUACCCGCAGAAGAAGCACCGGCAAACUCCGUGCCAGCAGCCGCGGUAAUACGGAGGUUGCGAGCGUUAAUCGGAAUUACUGGGCGUAAAGCGCGCGUAGGCGGCUUGUUAAGCUGGAUGUGAAAUCCCCGGGCUCAACCUGGGAACUGCACCCGGAACCGGCAGGCUAGAGUACAGUAGAGGUGAGCGGAAUUUCCUGUGUAGCGGUGAAAUGCGUAGAUAUGGGAAGGAACAUCAGUGGCGAAGGCGGCUCACUGGACUGAUACUGACGCUGAGGUGCGAAAGCGUGGGGAGCAAAC
rnacentral:rRNA from 1 species